rnacentral:rRNA from 1 species
AGUCGAACGGCAGCGCGGGGCAACCUGGCGGCGAGUGGCGAACGGGUGAGUAAUAUAUCGGAACGUACCCUGGAGUGGGGGAUAACGUAGCGAAAGUUACGCUAAUACCGCAUACGAUCUAAGGAUGAAAGUGGGGGCUUCGCAAGAACCUCAUGCUCCUGGAGCGGCCGAUAUCUGAUUAGCUAGUUGGUGGGGUAAAGGCUCACCAAGGCUUCGAUCAGUAGCUGGUCUGAGAGGACGACCAGCCACACUGGAACUGAGACACGGUCCAGACUCCUACGGGAGGCAGCAGUGGGGAAUUUUGGACAAUGGGCGCAAGCCUGAUCCAGCAAUGCCGCGUGAGUGAAGAAGGCCUUCGGGUUGUAAAGCUCUUUUGUCAGGGAAGAAACGGUGAGGGCUAAUAUCCCUUGCUAAUGACGGUACCUGAAGAAUAAGCACCGGCUAACUACGUGCCAGCAGCCGCGGUAAUACGUAGGGUGCAAGCGUUAAUCGGAAUUACUGGGCGUAAAGCGUGCGCAGGCGGUUUUGUAAGUUUGUCGUGAAAGCCCCGGGCUCAACCUGGGAAUUGCGAUGAAGACUGCAAGGCUUGAAUCUGGCAGAGGGGGGUAGAAUUCCACGUGUAGCAGUAAAAUGCGUAGAGAUGUGGAGGAACACCGAUGGCGAAGGCAGCCCCCUGGGUCAAGAUUGACGCUCAUGCACGGAAGCGUGGGGAGCAAACAGGAUUAGAUACCCUGGUAGUCCACGCCCUAAACGAUGUCUACUAGUUGUCGGGUUUUAAUUAACUUGGUAACGCAGUUAACGCGUGAAGUAGACCGCCUGGGGAGUACGGUCGCAAGAUUAAAACUCAAAGGAAUUGAC